AUGGGAAGGCAUCAACCUUGGCUUCAAGCAGCCAUCAACAAUUCCCAGCAUAUGGCAAGAGAGAGCUCCUCCGCCCACCCCAUCAGGCUCAGUGUUGUUCAUGCAUCAGAUUUCGGUGAUGCCUCACUAGCUUCCUCAAGAGGAGGAGGAGGGGAGGAGGAGAGAAGAGGAGCCAGGGAAUUGCCUGGCUCUGCAUACAUUUACUGCAGUUGAGAUGCCAGAUUGUCAAAACACAAACGAGAUGGCAGGGAAAGGUGAGUUGUAUACCCCAUCUGUCAGGCGUUUUAUAUAGGAGGCGGGUCUCGGUUGGACUUCAUCCAAGACUUGUGGGCAGGAAUGGAGAGAAGACUGGGACUAUUCACUUUAAAAACAAUCUUCCAUUAAUGACAUUAUUGGUGUUUAAAUGUCUUCCCUUUGACGGUGCAUGGUCCUUUUUGGCAUUUGCUUUCAGGACAGGAAUUAAGAUGACAAUAAGAAGAUGUGGGUAGGAAUAUACCGUAUAUACUCAAGUAUAAGCCGACUCAAAUAUAAGCCGAGGCACCUAAUUUUACCACAAAAAACUGGGAAAACAUUGACUCCAGUAUAAGCCGCGGGGGGUAAAUUUCACAAAUAAAAAUAGAUAGCAAUAAAAUUACAUAAAUUGAGGCAUCAGUAGGUUAAAUGUUUUUGAAUAUUUACAUAAAGCUCAAAUUUAAGAUAAGACUGUCCUAUUAGUGAGUGUGUAUAGCGGAACCAGCAGCGUCUAGUUAACACCAUGUGCAAAAGACUCAGACCAGGCAGAGGAAUUAAAAGAACAAAGAAAACUUUACUUGUUGAGUUGAAGUCAAAUAAACAGUUCAGCAAUCGUACAAUGUCCUUGUAGUUGCAUAGGAUCAAUAACUAAUCAAUCAGCAUUCAAUAUACCCAGCAUAGCAUAUUUAAACUGCUACUUAACCGUAGCUAGAGAGCCUGUCUUUUCUGUGCUCUCCCUGCAAGCCCAGAUUCCCAACUGACAAACCCAGCCAUCUGCCAGCAAAUCGAUACAUUGUUUGAGGCGUGGCUUGCCUCUACAAAAGCUCAGCUCCCUUUUUGCAGAGAUCUUUUGCAAGCAACUUUGCAAGGAUUUCUUUACACACAGACACAUAGCAAUUUGGCGCAAUAUGUCCAACUCUGAUAAAAUCAUUAUUCUCAUCUUCUUCAAUGUAAAUGUGCUUAUAUAGCCUUUUAAUAAUAAUAGAGUAAAAUAAUACAUGUAAUAAUAAUAAUAAAUACAGGAAAAUAUUACAUGUAAUAAUAAAUAGAGGAAAAUAAUACAGUAAAGUCUCACUUUUCCAAGCUAAACGGGCUGGCAGAAGCUUGGAUAACCGAAUAUCUUGGAUAAUAAGGAGGGAUUAAGGAAAAGCCUAUUAAACAUCAAAUUAGGUUAUGAUUUUACAAAUUAAGCACAUCAUGUUAUGCAACAAAUUUGACAAAAAAGUAGUUCAAUACACAGUAAUCUUAUGUUGUAACUAUUGUAUUUAUGAAUUUAGCACCAAAAUAUCAUGAUAUAUUGAAAACAUUGACUACAAAAAUGGCUUGGAUAAUCCAGAGGCUUGGAUAAGCGAGGCUUGGAUAAGUGAGACUCUACUGUAAAUGCAAUAAUAAUAAUAAUAAUAAUAAUAAUAAUAAUAAUAAUAAUAAUAAGAUCAGAGUAAAAUAAUAAAUGUAUUAUUAAUAAUAAUAAAAAUGGAGUAAAAUAAAUGUAAUAAUACCAAUAAUAAUAGAGAAAAAUAAUAAAUGUACCAUAUAUUCUUGAGUAUAAGCUGACCCAAAUAUAAGCCAAGCAGGACCCUCAUCCGAGUAUAAGCCGAGGGGACUUUUUCAGUCUUAAAAAAAGGGCUGAAAAACUAUGCUUAUACAUGAGUAUAUACAGUAAUUUUUUCCUAGGUUUCUUUUUGAAGAAAGCAAAAAGUCAUUUUAGCACCUGAACAAAAG
rnacentral:lncRNA from 1 species